AACGAACGCUGGCGGCAUGCCUAACACAUGCAAGUCGAACGAAGCCUUCGGGCUUAGUGGCGCACGGGUGCGUAACGCGUGGGAAUCUGCCCUUGGGUUCGGAAUAACAGUUAGAAAUGACUGCUAAUACCGAAUGAUGUCUUCGGACCAAAGAUUUAUCGCCCAAGGAUGAGCCCGCGUCGGAUUAGCUAGUUGGUGGGGUAAAGGCUCACCAAGGCGACGAUCCGUAGCUGGUCUGAGAGGAUGAUCAGCCACACUGGGACUGAGACACGGCCCAGACUCCUACGGGAGGCAGCAGUGGGGAAUAUUGGACAAUGGGCGAAAGCCUGAUCCAGCAAUGCCGCGUGAGUGAUGAAGGCCUUAGGGUUGUAAAGCUCUGUUGCAAGGGGAAUAAAAAAAAUAGAAUAGUACCUUGUGAGGAAGGAUACGGCGUAACUUCGUGCCAGCAGCCGCGGUAAU
rnacentral:rRNA from 1 species